GACGUAGGGCGCGAGCGUUGUCCGGAAUUAUUGGGCGUAAAGAGCUCGUAGGCGGCUUGUCACGUCGGGUGUGAAAGACCGGGGCUUAACUCCGGUUCUGCAUUCGAUACGGGCUAGCUAGAGUGUGGUAGGGGAGAUCGGAAUUCCUGGUGUAGCGGUGAAAUGCGCAGAUAUCAGGAGGAACACCGGUGGCGAAGGCGGAUCUCUGGGCCAUUACUGACGCUGAGGAGCGAAAGCGUGGGGAGCGAACAGG
rnacentral:rRNA from 1 species